rnacentral:pre_miRNA from 1 species
UUUAAGUGUAGCCAUAAUUUUCCGUGCCCAAUUUUAAUUGUCCGUCUUAUUUAAAAAAAUUUAAAAACAUAAGUCAUGAAUAAAGUAUUGUUCAUAUUUUAUCAUCUCAUAACAACAAAAAUACUAAUUAUAAAAAAAAUUCAAAUAAAACGGACGAUCAAAGUUGGACAUGGAAACUCAUGGUUGCACUUAAA